AUGUGGCGUGAGAUUCUGCUCAGAUGUGCUCAGAAGUUUUUUUUUUUUUGUGGUCUGCAGGGCUCCAUUGGUCAGACUGGUCCAGCUGGUCCUCCAGGAUUACCAGGAGAGGGCAUUCAAGGACCAAAGGGUGAUCCUGGAUAUCAGGGUAUACAGGGGCCAAGAGGGUUUCCCGGAGAGGGUCUUCUGGGCCAGAAGGUGAGGAGAGUCAUAUAGCAAGCAUUACAUGAAUCCUUCACACAAUUACAUUUACUCACCGUCAUGUCAUGCCAUACCUGUAAGAGUUUUCUUCCAUCAAAUACUGUACAAAAUGAGAUGUUAGCUGCUCUUUUCCACCGAACUGGUGUUUUAUACUGCACUAACAUACAGUAUAUGCACCUGUAUGAAAUCCCCAAAAUACUGCAUCACGUCAAGUUUGAAAACAUGACCACAAUUGUGAAUUUCAGCUCUGUAAUGUAGCUACUGUAUACUAGGGCAAUCGUGGGUUUCCAGGAGCACACGGACGUAAAGGAGACAGAGGAAGCCAGGGAGAACCAGGAUCUACAGGACCACACGUGAGAAGAACCGAGAAGGAAAAUUUGAUCGUCAAGCCUUCACGCGAGACUUGCUUUUGAAUCAUAAAGCAUUAUUAUGAUAGCUGACAAUGCCAAUUUCAUUCCAAGCAUCGCUUAAUACAUGCAUCUCUACAUUAUUUAACUAUAUUUAACACACUGAACACUGUGUUUUAUAAUCGCAGGGUAAUACGGGAACGAAAGGAGAACCUGGUCUCACAGUACGUACCCAGAUGUCAAUAAAGAAUUCAUUUUGGACCUUUGUUUAAGUAAUUUGUUCCAGUGUAAAACAAGUAUUGUAUUAUGCUGUUGUUGCAUAACCUCAUGCCAGCUGUAAAUAGAAAACUAUUUAGCAUUUUUAUCCCAUUUUUGAGUAAAAUUUUUAUUUUUGUGUCCAGUGCAUUGCAUUAUGGGAUAUAGUAAUCCACACAUGGCUUAUGGCUCAUUUUGGUCAUCUGCAAAUUGGUGUAUGAUUGACUUAUAAUUAUUUGUGAAAUUUACUAGCAAUUUCAAAGUGAAUUUCAAUUUCUG
rnacentral:lncRNA from 1 species